CCUCUUGCCUGUUCCCACCUUCAGAUGAUGGGGCCCAGGUGGAGGGGACGGAAUCCCUGAGGUCUCUGACUGACAAGCCCAAAGGAUCAUAAGAAUCAGGCAAAACAAC
rnacentral:lncRNA from 1 species